ensembl:lncRNA
AGAUGUAGAAACACAAUACAGAUGUAGAACCACAAUGUAGAUGUAGAAACACAAUGCAGACGUAUGUAGAAACAAAUCAGCUGCUCUGUAACAUUUUAAUGUCUGUCACUAGAGUCUAUCUACCGUAGAAUCCUAUCACAGGUUCUAUUAGAAAAGGGGAGCUGUAUAAGAAGAAUGAUAAAACAUCAGAGAAAUCCUGUUUUCCCCACUGUAACCAGGUAACAGAGGUUUCCUGGACCAUCACUGGUAAAGGCUCUGAGUUGAACCACAACCAGUGUCCCGGUGUUGGGGACACGUUUAACCCCUUCAACAUGGAAGCUGGGGUGAGUUUAUUCUCUCAUGUUCACUCACAAUACAUCAUGGUCCUUCUUCAUGAAGUGUCUAGGAUAGAUCAGCAUUCCUCCUCUGAGACACUUUGUGGAUUAGGGCCCAGCACAUCGCCAUCAUAGGACAAUUUCCCCCACUAUGUAGCGCUGAUCUCUGCUUUAUUCCAACUUUAAAGUUCCACUUGAUCAGCAAGUCUUAUGGAAUCCAACGGAACUGUGUUUGAUAUUCCAUCGAAUCUUUGUCUUUGACAAUGUCACAGUUGUUGGGUUUUGAGUUUGCAAGACAGGCGUUUCACUGUACUUAUGCGUGUGACAUUAAAACUUGAAACUACACCACAAUCACAACCAUAUACUUCACAUUGUUCUCAUAACCAGAAGUGGAAGUGUUUGUUGGAAUUGGUUUCAAUAACAUUAGAAUGAGUAGAACAGUCAUGGAACCUCUAACCCAGCCCUAUUGACAUGAAUGGAGACUUCCCUUCUAGUAAUUAUAUUUCUAUGGUUGGUUCCGUCCUCUGCUCUGUUCUGUUCUCUCUCAGAACUCCAGUUGUUCCCGUGACAACGCUCUGAGUUGUGAGGUGGGAGACCUGACGACCAGACAGGGGACACUCAGCCUGACACACAGACAGCUUUACACCGACACCAGCAUACAACUGGCUGGGGACUACACAGUGGUCCACAGGACCCUGGUCCUGAGGAGAGGCAGUGAUGUCUUGGCGUGUGCCGUCAUUCUUCCAGAAUCCCCCUGGGCAGAGCAGACCUUCCCCAACGUCAUGUCUUUCAGCAGAUUUGACUUCCGCAGUAGGGUGGCAGAUGUCCUAGAGGUGAACAUGUCCAGGGUCACCAUCCUUCCAGGGUCUCCUCUGGCCACAGUGGACGGACCGUGCCAGAAAGUCAGCUUCCUUGUCUCAGGUACAGCCAGUAAUAGAAUGCUGUAUGUGAAUGGGUACAGCACAGUGAUUCACAAUAUUCUCUGAUCAAAGAAGGAAAAAUAAGAAACAUUUUAUGUCUCGGAAUUACGGAGGCAGUGGCACUUAAGACACAUGUAAAACAUUACAUUUGUAAUUCUUGUCUGUGCCCAUGCAAUUAUCAGCUUCCUUAUCUCUGGUACAGCUGAUGACAUACAGAAGUAUAUUGUUUGUCUAUGGUUCAGUGCAAUGAUGCCCAAUAUUCCUUUAUCAAAAUCUGCCUGAAAGCGUGUUCCCUUUGAAUUUCUAUAUUGUUCAAAAGUUACAUUCUUUCCAAAUAAGACACAGACAAAUGUUCCAGCACAAACACUGAUAAUUAUGGCAAAGUCAAAACAUUACAGAAUUCAUUAUUGUCUGUGCCCAUGAUAAUAUAUCAAGUCCCCUCUCCUGACCCUAAAACUGAACGGGGAGUGGUGUCAUGUAAGGUGUAAAAAGGAAGUGGGUGGGUUGUGCUGAUGAAUCAGAUCAGCCUAUAACAUCUGACAGUGCAUGUGGGGGAAUUGUUUUAACAAUAACAAUAAAGUGUAAAGUCCCAGUGCAGUCGAAAAGUGAUAUUCCCGUGUUUUACAAUAUAUAUUUUUCCUCACCAUGAGGUUAAAAUGUAAUUAUGAUAAUCCUCUUUUAAUGUAAGAGCUGUUUGAAAAGACAGCCUGAAAUUCUUGCCUGUUUUAGUGGGAUGACGCUUUAGCCUGCCUGGUGAUAUCACCAGGUGGUAAAUUAAUUAAUAGACCAAUAAGAAGGAGAGUUCCAAAUCUUUCUGCCAAUAACAGCUAAUUUUCAGUUUUCAGCUCCUCACUCAGACCACUCCCAGACAGUCCUAGCAAAAUUCUAGUUUGAGAAAUUGCUCUUUGCUAUUUUUGACCAUUUUAAAUCACAGCAAGGUACUUAAUUGUUACCCAGAAAUGAUUUGAUAUUGAGCUAAAACGGCUGCAUUGGAGCUUUAAGCACUUGUGAGGGAGAUCCCCUAGAGCUUAUAGUCUAAGAGCCUACAGCAUCUUCAGAAAAACAAUAAAGUAUCUUCCUCAGUGAGUCAUUGAAAGUAGUGAGAAGCUAGUCACCCAUAUUCAGAAGUGGUUUCAGGACAGGUUCACUGCAGAGGUGUUGAAGCGAUGACAGCAAUUCCAGUAAGAAUGACAGCUACUGCACAUUGUUGUCCCUCAUUUUAAGGUAAAUGUCAGUUCAAGUCAAAUACUAACAGUGACAAUACAGCGUAGGUCUAUCACCAGUCUAACGUUAUAUUGGAAAGGUCAAAUCAAUUGUUAUUGGUCACAUACAGAUGUUAGCAGAUGUUAUUGCGAGUGUAGCGAAAUGCUUGUGCUUCUAGUUCCGACAGUGCGGCAAUAUCUAACAAGUAAUCUAACAAUUCCCCAACAACUACCUAAUACACACAAAUAUAAGUAAAGGAAUUGAAUAGAAUAUAUACAUAUACAUUUUUGGAUGAGCAAUGACUGAGCAGCAUAGGCAAGAUGCAAUUGAUGGUAUAAAAUACAGUAUAUACAUAUGAGAUGAGUAAUGCAAGAUAUGUAAACAUUAUUAAAGUGGCAUUAUUAAAGUGACUAGUGAUGCAU